AAAGUCGUAACAAGGUUUCCGUAGGUGAACCUGCGGAAGGAUCAUUAGUGAAUUAAACAUGCUUGGUGUCUUCGCUUCGGCAAGGCCCUUGCUUAACUCACAUCCCAACACCUGUGAUCAUCGUCUGCCCUUUUUAACAAACAAUUAAUGUAACAAACGUAGUCUUAUUAUAACCUAAUAAAACUUUCAACAACGGAUCUCUUGGCUCUC
rnacentral:misc_RNA from 1 species